AGUCGAACGGUAACAGGUCUUCGGAUGCUGACGAGUGGCGAACGGGUGAGUAAUACAUCGGAACGUGCCCGAUCGUGGGGGAUAACGAGGCGAAAGCUUUGCUAAUACCGCAUACGAUCUACGGAUGAAAGCGGGGGAUCUUCGGACCUCGCGCGGACGGAGCGGCCGAUGGCAGAUUAGGUAGUUGGUGGGAUAAAAGCUUACCAAGCCGACGAUCUGUAGCUGGUCUGAGAGGAUGAUCAGCCACACUGGGACUGGGACACGGCCCAGACUCCUACGGGAGGCAGCAGUGGGGAAUUUUGGACAAUGGGCGAAAGCCUGAUCCAGCCAUGCCGCGUGCAGGAUGAAGGCCUUCGGGUUGUAAACUGCUUUUGUACGGAACGAAAAGCCUCUUUCUAAUAAAGAGGGGUCAUGACGGUACCGUAAGAAUAAGCACCGGCUAACUACGUGCCAGCAGCCGCGGUAAUACGUAGGGUGCAAGCGUUAAUCGGAAUUACUGGGCGUAAAGCGUGCGCAGGCGGUUUUGUAAGACAGAGGUGAAAUCCCCGGGCUCAACCUGGGAACUGCCUUUGUGACUGCAAGGCUGGAGUGCGGCAGAGGGGGAUGGAAUUCCGCGUGUAGCAGUGAAAUGCGUAGAUAUGCGGAGGAACACUGAUGGCGAAGGCAAUCCCCUGGGCCUGCACUGACGCUCAUGCACGAAAGCGUGGGGAGCAAACAGGAUUAGAUACCCUGGUAGUCCACGCCCUAAACGAUGUCAACUGGUUGUUGGGUCUUCACUGACUCAGUAACGAAGCUAACGCGUGAAGU
rnacentral:rRNA from 1 species